rnacentral:rRNA from 1 species
GACGAACGCUGGCGGCGUGCCUAAUACAUGCAAGUCGAACGCUUUUUCUUUCACCGGAGCUUGCUCCACCGAAAGAAAAAGAGUGGCGAACGGGUGAGUAACACGUGGGUAACCUGCCCAUCAGAAGGGGAUAACACUUGGAAACAGGUGCUAAUACCGUAUAACACUAUUUUCCGCAUGGAAGAAAGUUGAAAGGCGCUUUUGCGUCACUGAUGGAUGGACCCGCGGUGCAUUAGCUAGUUGGGGAGGUAACGGCUCACCAAGGCAACGAUGCAUGGCCGACCUGAGAGGGUGAUCGGCCACACUGGGACUGAGACACGGCCCAGACUCCUACGGGAGGCAGCAGUAGGGAAUCUUCGGCAAUGGACGAAAGUCUGACCGAGCAACGCCGCGUGAGUGAAGAAGGUUUUCGGAUCGUAAAACUCUGUUGUUAGAGAAGGACAAGGAUGAGAGUAAAACGUUCAUCCCUUGACGGUAUCUAACCAGAAAGCCACGGCUAACUACGUGCCAGCCGCCGCUGUAA